UGCAACCCGGGCAUGUGCCCUGACUGGGAAUCCACUGGCAACCUUUCCGCGCACAGGACGAUGCUCAGCACUGAGCCCCGCGGGCCAGGGUGAAUAUUUUAAAUCACCAACGGCCCCGACAGCAGAGACUUGUUAAGUAAAAGGAGCAGCAAGAAGAGGGAAAGCACUUUGUCCUUUUCCUCUUUGAACUUGCCCGACAGAAACACGGAAAUGCCCAAGUUUUACAGGAACGGACUGCAAGUGCGGUCAGAAUGGGAGGUGUGAGCAGAGCGACAGCCUUUCCUGUUGCCUCUGCCUCCCUCCGCCUCUCUCUCGCUCUCUCUCUCACUCGCAGUUUGGUGAAGGGCAGGAGUUGAGCACUGGUCAGCUACGGGGCUUUUUCACCACUUGGAACACUUUGCAAGCAGCGUGUGAGCUUCGCUCGAGGACACAGGCAGCUGAGGAAUCAUGCCUGGGAACUACGCUGACAUAGCCGAGUUGCGUUGUAGUCCCUGCUAUAGGAGGCUAUUUUUCAAGUUCACACACGGACAGACCCUCAACUACCCCUGAGCCAGAGGAAUCACAUGGCCACUCUUUGAACUCAGACAUUAUUCCAAAGCUUACGAGGUUGUAGGAACACAGGGCUCAUUGAGAUAGUUCCUGUUUGGGACGCUAAGAAAAGCCCAGCCUCCUCCAGUGGCCUGGGUCUCAUUUACCCCAAAUCAUGACCCAUGCAGCCCAGUGCAUCCGAUCCCACCUUGUCUCAGCACGUCCACUGAACGCGUUCACUGAAAGGUAUUUGCGCAUUUGCAUACCCUUCCAAGGUGAUUUGCAUAGCUUUCUAAUAUUCUAAUUUGAAUAUUAACGAUGACAACAUUAAUAAGAACGUUAAAUGGAAUCUCUCAGCGAUGCAUUUGUGUUACAGCUUCGAUGGGGACGUAGCCUCCUCUAAGUAACCUCUACGCUUAUUCCCAAUUUCCUCCCAAGAAAUCUCCUGCUUCAUCGCUUGGCGGUGAUGGAUCCCUGAUGUUAUCAAAUCGGACAAAACGCAUUAUGACCACGAAAGUGCAGGCGUGUCACCAAGCGGGGCCUAAUCUAGGAGCUGAUUAAAUAAAUGCUUCCAGACCCUGUGCAACCUCGGAGCAAAGACAGUUAAUUCUGUGGCUCCUACUGACUGACCCUCAGGUAAUUAAAACCGGCAAGUACUGCGGCGCGAUGAGUCCUGGAGACCUCGGGGACAGGCAGAGACCACAGAGACAGGCAGAGACCACAGGGAGAAGCACAGACCACAUUACACAGGCGGAGACCAUGGGGACAGGCGGAGACCAUGGGGACAGGAGGAGACCACAGAGACAGGCGGAGACCACGGGGACAGGCAGAGACCUCGGGGACAGGCACAGACCACAGGGAUAGGUGGAGACCACAGUGAGAAGCACAGACCACAUUACACAGGUGGAGACCAUGGGGACAGGUGGAGGCCACAGGGACAGGCAGAAACCUCAGGGACAGGAGGAGACCUCGGGGACAGGUGGAGACCACAGGGAGAAGGCGGAGACCACAGGGAGAAGCACAGACCACAUUACACAGGCGGAGACCAUGGGGACAGGUGGAGGCCACAGGGACAGGUGGAGACCACGGGGACAGGUGGAGACCACAGAGACAGGUGGAGACCACGGGGACAGGCGGAGACCACGGGGACAGGCGGAGACCACGGGGACAGGCGGAGACCACGGGGACAGGCGGAGACCACGGGGACAGGCGGAGACCACGGGGACAGGCGGAGACCACGGGGACAGGCGGAGACCAUGGGGACAGGUGGAGACCACGGGGAGAGGCACAGACCACAGAGACAGGUGGAGACCAUGGGGACAGGCGGAGACCUCGGGGACAGGUACUGUCCUCUCUGCUUUGAAACUUAGUGCGAUUAUAAACUUUUAAAGAGAGAAACUCAUAAUUUUUAAGAAUCAUCCCCCAGAUGUUGUGUUGUGUAGAUUAAAAAGUUGUUCUGAUAACAGUUUUCUAUUUCCCAGCCAACCCUCUGAAUCUGUUAAUUUCUAAAGAUUGCCAACGUUUUUCUUUGCGGAAGAGAGGUUCCAAUUAGCACAGGAACAACAUGUCCUCCCCUUUCUAAGGUGACUGUACAAGCUGUAUCGUGCACCUCGCAUCUCGGUGUAUUUCAUGGUAAAAAUGUCUUGAAAACCGGCUUUUAAUAGAUUUUUAAAAGUUUUGGAGAGAUUGUAGGUGAUGUCAGAGGGACACGCUCCCGAGUGACACAGCCGGUGGCUCACAGGACUUGGAUUAUCAAACUGUUUCCUCCAACAUCGGCUGCUGCUUCCGAGGAAAAGCAAUUU